rnacentral:misc_RNA from 1 species
GCAACGCCGCUUCGCACUGCCUCCACGUACACAAAACCGUAAGUUGCAGCAGCUUCACGUGGAGUUGAGGAAUUAUGCCCCGAGGAUUCGGAGGACGUGGCGGUGGUGACCGCGGUGGUGGAAGCCGCGGCUUUGGAGGCCCCCGUGGCGGCCGCGGUGGCGGCGGUCGAGGUGGCGGCCGUGGCGGUCACAUGUCCGAGCCUGACCCGCCGGAGAACGUGGAGGAGGUCGGCACCUUCAUGAACGCCGCAGAGGGCGAAUUAGUUUACAGGGUUACGGCGCACGGUGUGGUGCCGCGCUUCAACGCCUUUGUGUACACCGAAAAUAAGGCGAAAAUCGGCAAAAUUGAGGAGAUUCUCGGGAACACAACGGAUGUCAUGUUUUCCGUGAAACCAUCGCCAGGCGUGCAGGCGGCGUCCCUCAGCGAGGGCGAUAAAGUGUACAUUUCCCCUACGCAGUUUACGCCUCUCCGUGUCUUCACCGAACCACCGAAGCCGCGCGGUCGUGGUGGUCGUGGUGGCCGUGGCGGUGGCCGCGGCGCCGACCGUGGUGGUCGCGGCGGGUUCGGCGGUCGCGGCAGCUUCGGCGGCAUGGGUGGCGGCCGAGGCAGCUUCGGUGGCGGCCGAGGCAGCUUCGGUGGCGGCCGAGGCAGCUUCGGUGGCGGUGGCCGUGGAAGCUUCGGUGGCCGUGGUGGUGGCCGUGGUUUUGAUGGUCGUGGUCGCGGGCACUAGACAACGCCUCUGUGGCCUGCGAGUUGCUAAGGACGUGAGAAUCGUCCCACGCCAUCCCUCUCGCAUCGAGCACUGCUUCACGCACAAUUUCAAGACCCCACUCGCACACAUCGACAGGUGCAGAGAUGUCCUACGCACCUCGGCGCAAUCGGAUUACGUGAGAAGGGGUGACGAAGCAAUCCAAGGAUAAUAGCGGACUCUCAGAAAAGGGACGUGUCUGUCUCUGUGUGCACGAAUGCGCCGGUAUGUGUUCGCGCGCGAUGGCAGACAGUGACCAUGCGAGAGCGGCUAAAGCAAUGACAGGUGUGCCACGCAAUGGCGACGCGAGGGGAAGGAAAAGACACGACAGAGAGGCACAGGAGCAUAAUUGUGCGCAAGCAAGCAUGUACCGUCCCUUUUUCCCUCUUUCUUCUUCGGUUUGGGAGGAGCCUUAAUCGUAAUCAGCUCGAUCGCUGACAUAACCGUUUGAUGUGGUGUAAAAAGGCAAACAG